rnacentral:rRNA from 1 species
GAUGAACGCUGGCGGCGUGCCUAACACAUGCAAGUCGAACGGUCAAGACGCCUUCGGGCGUGUAUAGAGUGGCGAACGGGUGAGUAACACGUGACCAACCUACCCCCUGCUUCGGGACAGCCGCGGGAAACCGCGAUUAAUACCGAAUAUUCCGGAAACCCCGCAUGGGGCAUCCGGGAAAGUUCAGGCGGCAGGGGAUGGGGUCGCGGCCCAUCAGGUAGUCGGCGGGGUAACGGCCCACCGAGCUUACGACGGGUAGCCGGACUGAGAGGUCGAUCGGCCACAUUGGGACUGAGACACGGCCCAGACUCCUACGGGAGGCAGCAGUGGGGAAUUUUGCGCAAUGGGGGAAACCCUGACGCAGCAACGCCGCGUGCGGGAUGAAGGCCUUCGGGUCGUAAACCGCUUUCGGCGGGGAAGAAUUUGACGGUACCU